AUUGAACGCUGGCGGCAGGCCUAACACAUGCAAGUCGAACGAGUGGCGGACGGGUGAGUAAUGUCUGGGGAACUGCCUGAUAGAGGGGGAUAACUACUGGAAACGGUAGCUAAUACCGCAUACUAUCAGAUGAACCCAGAUGGGAUUAGCUAGUGGGUGGGGGAAAGGCUCACCAAGGCGACGAUCCCUAGCUGGUCUGAGAGGAGGACCAGCCACACGGGAACUGAGACACGGCCCAGACUCCUACGGGAGGCAGCAGUGGGGAAUAUUGCACAAUGGGCGCAAGCCUGAUGCAGCCAUGCCGGGGGUAUGAAGAAGGCCUUAGGGUUGUAAAGUACUUUCAGCGGGGAGGCGUUACCCGCAGAAGAAGCACCGGCUAACUCCGUGCCAGCAGCCGCGGUAAUUC
rnacentral:rRNA from 1 species